UGAAGGCUGACAUUAAAGGAGACACUCAGGAAGCUGAGCUUCUCAUUCUGGAUGAGUUUGCUGUCCUCUGUAGAGACCUGUACGCCUUCUACCCAAUGCUCAUCCGCUACGUGGACAACAACAGGUCCAGAUGGUUGAAGAGGCCUGAUGCUCAGUCCAACCAGCUCUUCACCAUGGUGGCUGAGAUCUUCAUUCUCUGGUGCAAAUCACACAACUUCAAAAGGGAAGAGCAGAAYUUUGUGGUUCAGAAUGAAAUCAACAACCUGUCUUUCUUGACUGGGGAACA